ACCAAGAUGCGUUUCAUUUUGCAAUCCACAUUUCGACUUCAACUUCUCUCUAACUACAGCUCCUUUCGCUCUUCGUCUACACUACAUUACAAAAAUUGGAAUCAUGGAUUUUCGUUUCUGCUCAGAAUCAAUCAUCCGCCAUUAGAUGGGUUCCAGACUUGAACAGACACAGGUAUUUCUUUACAAUUUCUAUUAGGGUUUUGAACAACACAAAUUCGGGGUUUAUCAGGGUUUUGAACAACAUAAUUUGGGGUUUAUUAGGGUUUAGGUUAUUCCGAAGUAAUCCUUAUAACAAUCAAAGCUGAAGAAGUAGAUAUAAUCAGCAAAUUACCAGAUAACUUGAUUCAUGAAAUCCUCUCUUUUAUUGAUACGAAAUAUGCAGUACAAACUAGUGUUUUGUCCAAAAGAUGGAAAAAUAUUUGGGUCUCUCUCCCUUACAUAUCAGUAGAUUGGACUUCAUUUAAAAAAGACAUAAUAUAUGAUCUAGGUGAAACUUUGCGUAAGUUUCUAACUUUUGUCGACAAGGUAUUCGAGUUCCAUGAUGACUCUGAUAUAUAGAGUAUUAAACUGGGGUGUGUCAUACUGGAUGCCUUUUCUGUAGAAGCUCUUAAUAGAUGGAUCCUUGCGGCUGUGAAUCAUAACAUUAUAGACCUGGAUAUAACUGGUUCUUACUUACAUGACUCGGCAUAUGAGAUUCCUCAUCAAAUCCUUAAUUCUAUAUCAUUGAAGAGUUUGAUUAUUAUAUUGCUUGGGGACCGUUUUGGAGGUACAAAUAUUAUUCUACAGAAGUCAAUGAGUUUACCUCAAUUGAAAACACUGUGGCUUGCAGGAAUUUCUAUCUCUAAUUUAGACUUACAAAGGCUUUUCUCAAGCUGUCCACUUAUGGAAACAUUAUUUAUGCAAAAAUGUGAUGUACAAACAAGCAAUCAAAGGAAUAUCAUUAUUGAUUCUCACAGCCUUUCAAAGGGUUAGACUAUUCGAGAAUCGUUAUACACAUCUUGGUUUGGCAGAUCAUACUUUUACUUGCACUACAAAGAUAUCUGCUCCAAAUCUCAUGGGCUUCAUGUGCACAGGCUUCAUGACUGAAGAUUUUCCCCUAGAAAACCUUUCUUCUCUAGGCUAUGCUCGAUUUGAUAUGAGAUUAACAAAAGAAGCGGAUGAAACUGCACUAACAUAUUUUUAGCUCCCCGCUGAGGAAAAAGAAGUGUUCGCUAGACGUAUGAUGAAAUUUGUAGGAGUGGUUCGUAAUGUGCGACACCUGACACUAUCAUCUGGGUUCCUUGAGGAACUAUGAAGCUGGGAAUGAGGUUUACAAGAGGCUGCAUCCGCUCAAUUGCAUACUUACUCAAGAUCUCUCCUAUUAUAACUACUCUUAUCCUUGUAUCAGAGGAGGCGAACUUAGCAGACGUUGAAGAUGAUUGGGAUGCGGGAUUCUCAUUGACGUGCAUGUAUUCUCACCUCAAGGUUAUCGAGAUUGGAGGGGUGGAAGGAUGUGAUAAUGAACUCAAAUUUGUGAGGUUUAUGUUGAAAAACUCGAUGGUUUUGGAGAAAGUGAAUCUGUUCUUUCGGUCUACUAGUGACUCACUUGAUGGAGGAAGACAAAUAAGGAGAUUUAAGAGGAACCUAAGAGCAAUGCCAACAGCUUCUUCUAGUAUCAAAAUGAAUUUCCUUUAACCUUUGAAGAUGCUGCUAUGAGCUUAGCUGAAUGAGACAUCAAGCUUUUAAGAGUAAGGUAAGACCACUUCCAAUAGCUUAACAAUUUAGGUACAUAUAAGUUCUUUGUAUUUUUUGAACUAUUUUUGGUGGAUGUUUCAGAAGUCACAAGUAUUCUUUGAGAAUCCAAACCAUAUAACUCUUGUUAAAAAAGACACAAUCAUCCCUCAAAGUGGGACAGUGUUUUACAUCUUAAGCCAGAUAGGAGGUUAAAUUCUUUUGAAGAUAUUUUCGAUCAGGUUAAAUUCUUUUGAAGAUAUUUUCGAUCAAUGGGAUACUAAUAAUCUCGAUGAAUCUCCCUUUGUUCCAAACUGGACAAAAAUUGCAAUUGGUGUUUGCUGGAUCAUAUGGAAAUGAAGAUUUUCUAUAGUUUCUGACAAUGAGAAGUUAGUUCUUGUUAAAGUUAUUAAGGACACCAGAUAUCUUAUAUUUUGUUAUGACAAACCAAGCUCUGGUGUAGUGAUGAACCUUACAAGAUCAGAGGCUAAACAAUGUGACUGUAUCUUUUUCGAAUCAUUUCUUUUUGGAAUUUUGGAUUUCUUAUACAGUAAAGUCUAUUUCUGGAGUGGCUUUAGUUCAGAUCCUAUUGCAGCUGAAGUUAAGUCUAUGACUGGAGCAACUGUUUGGGUUCAAAACCUCCAGCUUACCAAAGUUUUUCUUUGUCAAUGAUUGCAAAGCUCUGGUUGAUUUUGUAAAUGGGACUGCUAGUUCCAUUCAUUGGAGAAGUCUUAGCUUUUCUGAGUUUUCUCGCAGUGUUAAGUGGGACUGCUAGUUAUUCUGUAAAUGGGACUGCUAAUAACCUUGAUGAGUCUCCCUUUGUUCCAAACUGGGCAAAAGUUGCAAUUAGUGUUUGCUGGAUCAUAUGGAAAUGAAAAUGUUCUAUAGUUUCUGAC